UAGAUCUUCCCGGCGGCAGUGCUCCGUCCACUGGCCUGCUUCUCAUCCUUUGCCUCCUGGACGAGGCUGCAUAGAAGCUGCAAAGCUCCCAGACCUGUUGCUUCUCCCCUUCGCCGUCUCAUCACGCAAGCAGUCCAUCUGAUUGCUGUUUCCCCAAGUCCUCCGCGUCCGUCCUCGAUGAUCAGAUACAUGCUGCAAGGAGACUCCAGAAUCCCCUUCCCUGUUGCACCCCCGCUUCCUGGCAGGUAUUUUGUGGGGCUCAUGUUCCAUUGUCGAGCAGCCACUUCUCGUUGCAUACUCAAAAGGGAUAUACAAAGUCUUUAUCAACUACAUCUCCUGAUCAUAUAAGUACUCUUGCCUUACAGCUGAUACAGACAGUCAGAGACAUUCAGAUAAGUUUUGCAGAAAGGAGGUUUUCACUAAGGACAGAGAUGAGCCUAGACAUCACAUAACAUCUUUUUUCUAAA